rnacentral:rRNA from 1 species
GAUGAACGCUGGCGGCGUGCCUAAUACAUGCAAGUCGAGCGAACAGACGAGGAGCUUGCUCCUCUGACGUUAGCGGCGGACGGGUGAGUAACACGUGGAUAACCUACCUAUAAGACUGGGAUAACUUCGGGAAACCGGAGCUAAUACCGGAUAAUAUAUUGAACCGCAUGGUUCAAUAGUGUAAGACGGUUUUGCUGUCACUUAUAGAUGGAUCCGCGCCGCAUUAGCUAGUUGGUAAGGUAACGGCUUACCAAGGCAACGAUGCGUAGCCGACCUGAGAGGGUGAUCGGCCACACUGGAACUGAGACACGGUCCAGACUCCUACGGGAGGCAGCAGUAGGGAAUCUUCCGCAAAGGGCGAAAGCUUGACGGAGCAACGCCGCGUGAGUGAUGAAGGUCUUCGGAUCGUAAAACUCUGUUAUUAGGGAAGAACAAAUGUGUAAGUAACUAUGCACGUCUUGACGGUACCUAAUCAGAAAGCCACGGCUAACUACGUG